rnacentral:rRNA from 1 species
AACGAACGCUGGCGGCAUGCCUAACACAUGCAAGUCGAACGAGACCUUCGGGUCUAGUGGCGCACGGGUGCGUAACGCGUGGGAAUCUACCUUUUGCUACGGAAUAACUCAGGGAAACUUGUGCUAAUACCGUAUGUGCCCUUCGGGGGAAAGAUUUAUCGGCAAAGGAUGAGCCCGCGUUGGAUUAGCUAGUUGGUGGGGUAAAGGCCUACCAAGGCGACGAUCCAUAGCUGGUCUGAGAGGAUGAUCAGCCACACUGGGACUGAGACACGGCCCAG